AUCCCCGCCAGAGCCCUGCCGCCGCUACCCCAGGGCUCGGGCAGCAGGGCUCAGGCGGGAAUUUAAAAGGCUCGGGGCUCCGGCAGCUGCUACCACAGCGAAGCCCCAGGCCCUUUAAAGCUCUGCCGGAGCCCAGAGCCCUGGGGUAGCGGUGGCAGCCGGGAGCCCCCACAGCUCCUCAGUGAUUUAAAGGGCUCGGGGCUCCGCUGCAGUAGCGGCAGCUGGAGCCCUGGGCCCUUUAAAUCACCCCCGGGCCCCGGGGCUCCCACCCGCCUCUGCAGCUGGUAGCUCAGGGGUGAUUUAAACGGCCCCGGGCUCCCAGCCGCCACUCGCGCAGCUGGAGCCCUGGCCCUUUAAAUCUUGAUUUAAAGGGCCUGGGAAUUUAAGGCCCUGCCUCUUCCGGUUGAGGCCACACCCCUGGCUCAGCACUCCAGCGUACUGGUGAGGAGGGAGAGGAAUCUGCUGAUGAACAACUGACCCCAGAGCUGCUUGGUCUUAAACAAUCUUCAACAAGAACAAUAAGGAACAUGCCCGUUUCCCCAAGUGCCCGACAGACAAUCACACUCUCAGUGAGUUUUAAUGCCAGGAGACUUUCACCCAGCGAUUCUUGCAUUGAGCACAGACCCUCCAUUUGGGCUACAGCAUUUCCUUCCAAACUUCCUCGGGUCGGGACUGAAGGAUGUCAUGUGACCGAGAACCCCCAGAACCCGCGGUGGGUUGUUAAUGGUUAAUUCCCCUCCCUGCUUGAAAAUUAGCUCUAAUUCGUUCCAGUCUGAAUUUCAGCUUCCAGCCAUUCAACCUUGUUCUGCUUUUUGCUGCUAGAAUAAAGAGCUGCCGCCGAUCAAAAAUCUCUUCCCCAGGUAGGCCCUUAGAGCCCAUGGUCCAGUUACUUCUCAGCCUUCUCCUGGGUGAGAUAAAUCAACUGAACGUCUUUUAGUCUCUUGCUCUGAAGCAAGUUCCCAGACCCUGAGUCCUUCUUGUAGCAAUAAACCCGUUUCUGAACCGGUUCCAAUUUGUCAGCAUCCUGUCUGAACAAUCUCCUCCUUGCUGCCGUAGAUACUUGUGUGAGAUCGCUGCCCUGCUUUGGAGCUCAGAGAUGCUUUUCAGAGUAUGGAAGGCCCAGCGAGUCUCUGGAUUUACGCCUGCUCCAGAGACCUUCUCCUCUAGUUGAGAUACACACAGUUGUGCACUGAGGUAAUCUCAGGCCAGACUCUGCCGUCCCUACUCAUGGUAAGUAGCACCUCACUCUGCGAGUACCCUGGGGGAGUAAAGCACUACUCAGUGUGAGUAACAGUGGCAGAUUCUGUCCCUUUCCUAGCACCUCUGUCCCAUAUUUCAACCAGCAACAUGGGUUCCCGUAAUAACAGUCACAGGAUUUGGCUCUUUAAGCUGCAACUUCGGGUGGCCUACAUGUGCCAGCAGACUUGGACGCGUCCUCUGUGACACACCUAGUCAGCAGCAUGCUGCUGUCUCCCUUUUCAUAUCCGUGACGUUUGUCUGACAGCAACCUGGGAAUGGGGAUAAAGUGAGUGCAGAAUCAGGCCCCCUGGCGUUGCCAUACCGCGUCCGGCCACUGGAGGGAGCGCUAAUGACAAGAAAUGAGCUGGUCCCUUGUGCCCUGGCCUCCCAGCGGACACAUGCGCCCAGGUGGCCUCUGACCCUGCUGGCUGCAGAGCCUUGUCCCCUGCAAGAGCCACCCAGGCUCCCCCAGCCAGACACAGUGAGAGCGUGGGGCGGGGCAGGGGGAAGAGUGGAAGCUUUCCCUGAUGGUCUCAUUUGGGACAGGGGUGGGAGGGGAGGCUGGUUCUCCAGCCUCGAGCCGUGAGGUGCUCAGAUCCUGCAGUGCCGGGAGCUGCAGAGUGACCCAGGCUGGGCAGCUCAAGGGGGGCCUAGUCUGCGCCCCUGCCGGGGGACGAAGGAAAAUGAAAUGCUCUCUGUAAAGCUGGGCUGUGCUCCUAGAGCCGCUGGUUUAUUUAGCCUUUGGAGCCAAAGUGAGAGGCUGUUAAUGGGGAGCAGACCUAGAGCAUCUCCCUGUGAUCCUUGUGGCUCCUCGUGCUGCCCAUCCAUCGUCUCCACCAGCUGUCCCUUGCCUUACGCUUGGGGAAGGGGCCGUCCUUGUGCUCUGUGCUGGUCCAGCACCUAGCACCAUGGGGCCUGAGCCGUGACAGGGCACCAGCACCAUACAGACAGCAGGGAACGACGACGGUCUGGAACAGACAGGAAAGGCGACAGCCAACCCGGCGAGAGGCGCAGUGGUGGUCGGUGUGGCGGGCUGGGAGCUGCCACGGCACCAUAACGUUUACAAGGGACACGGGCAGGAAGCAGCUACCCCUGUCUCCCAGUCUAACCACCUCCACGCUGGGGCUGCACCAUUUACAGUUCUCCAAACCAACACAGCUGUGCCUAGGCCAGCCUGAACUCAGGUCACUGCCUCCACCAUGCCCCUGCAGGAGUCAUGUGCCCAGCCACAGGACCUUUUGGAGGAGCAUCUGGCGGGUACAGGGCACACGCUUGUCCCUGGACCCCCACAGCCCAUAGGCUGAGCCUGUGAAUUCCCCGCCCGCCCUGCCAUGCUCUCCCCAAGCCAGCACAGCCCCAGAAGCAGCCACACCCUGUGCUGUCAGCUUGCCCUUACCCUGUGUAAAUUUGCUGACCAUUUGGUUGAAUUUCUGGCCAUUUGAGUUCACCAUGGGUCGUGCCAGCUCGGUCUGGAAGAAUAUGGCCUGUGGGGUGUCCUACCCACCCCACAGCGUUCCCCACUUCCGAGAGGUGAGAGAGUUGCCUUUUCUGCCUGGGGAAGGGUGCUGUCUGCGAGGGCUCCCCAAAGGGCCUGUCGGACGGCUCUCCAGACCCUGCUCCUGCAAGAGGCUCUGCUAGUGCAUGACUCUGGGGGACUUUCUCCUAGAAAGCUCAGCUCCCCUCCCCCUGUGCUGAAGCCUGACACGAUAUCCCCACCUGAGAGGAGCCAGUCCCUUGCAAAGGCAGGUUCCCCAGGGACGGAUCUAAGUUCUGUGGCGGGAGCUGAGGAGAACACUGUGAUGUUGCACUUGAAAUGAUUUUAUGAAAGUAUGCUGAUGAGUGUUAAUAUAAUGUAACUAAAUAUGCUUCAUGCAAAAGGUGUCUUGUAAGGUAUCAUUACAAACCUUAUAAUCUGCUGAGUGUGGUCACCCUGUUUGUAUGAAUGUAUCACUCUUGUAUCUGAAACUAGAAAUAUAAAAUAUAACUCUGAGGGCCUAUUGUAAUUAUGCAAAGUGUGGGCCAUUCAUGGUGGUUUGGAAUCUUGAUGACUCCCAUUAACCAGGACAAUGGCUCUGUUUACUUGUAAGCCUUCCUGUAUACGUGUGUGCUGGCAAGUGGGUAAUGUCACCUGACCUGGAAUCCAUCUUUAACCUGGUGCUUUUCCACUGAGAGGGAGGGGUGGGAACCCAGAGGGACAAAGGAUUUGCACCUUAUGCAAAAGAUAUAUAAGUGUGUGGAACAGAACAAGGGGAGGCAGCCAUCAUGAGAAAUCCCCCAGCUACCACCUGAGCUGGAACAAGGGCUGCACCAGGGGAAAGAAUUGUGCCCAGACUAGAAAGGAGUCUGGUCUGUGAAAGGAACUUAUUGAAACAUCUCUGAGGGUGAGAUUGUAUCUGUAUUCACUUUUUAUUACUGUACUAGACUUAGACUUGCGUGUUUUGUUUUAUUUUGCUUGGUAAUUCACUUGUUCUGUCUGUUACUACUUGGAACCACUUAAAUCCUACUUUCUGUAUUUAAUAAAAUAAGUUUUUACUUAUUAAUUAA